rnacentral:rRNA from 1 species
GACGAACGCUGGCGGCGUGCUUAACACAUGCAAGUCGAACGGAAAGGCCCUGCUUUUGUGGGGUGCUCGAGUGGCGAACGGGUGAGUAACACGUGAGUAACCUGCCCUUGACUUUGGGAUAACUUCAGGAAACUGGGGCUAAUACCGGAUAGGAGCUCCUGCUGCAUGGUGGGGGUUGGAAAGUUUCGGCGGUUGGGGAUGGACUCGCGGCUUAUCAGCUUGUUGGUGGGGUAGUGGCUUACCAAGGCUUUGACGGGUAGCCGGCCUGAGAGGGUGACCGGCCACAUUGGGACUGAGAUACGGCCCAGACUACUACGGGAGGCAGCAGUGGGGAAUAUUGCACAAUGGGCGGAAGCCUGAUGCAGCAACGCCGCGUGCGGGAUGACGGCCUUCGGGUUGUAAACCGCUUUCGCCUGUGACGAAGCGUGAGUGACGGUAAUGGGUAAAGAAGCACCGGCUAUCUACGUG